rnacentral:rRNA from 1 species
UACGGGGGGAGCAAGCGUUGUUCGGAUUUACUGGGCGUAAAGGGCGUGUAGGCGGCCAGGUAGGUCUGCUGUGAAAACUCGAGGCUCAACCUCGAGACGUCGGCGGAAACCAUCUGGCUAGAGUCCGGAAGAGGAGAGUGGAAUUCCUGGUGUAGCGGUGAAAUGCGCAGAUAUCAGGAAGAACACCCGUGGCGAAGGCGGCUCUCUGGGACGGUACUGACGCUGAGACGCGAAAGCGUGGGGAGCGAACAGG